GACGAACCGUGCGAACGUUAUUCGGAAUCACUGGGCUUAAAGCGCGUGUAGGCGGGACGGCACGUCGGCCGCUGAAAUCCCCCGGCUCAACCGGGGAAGGGGCGCCGAUACGACCGCCCUGGAGGGACGUAGGGGGGCUGGAACUUCCGGUGGAGCGGUGAAAUGCGUUGAGAUCGGAAGGAACGCCCGUGGCGAAAGCGAGCCCCUGGACGUCUACUGACGCUGAGACGCGAAAGCCAGGGGAGCGAACGGG
rnacentral:rRNA from 1 species